GAGUUUGAUCAUGGCUCAGAACGUACGCUGGCGGCACGCCUAACACAUGCAAGUCGAACGAAGUAGCAAUACUUAGUGGCAGACGGGUGAGUAACAUGUAGGUAUCUGCCCUUUGGCCUGGAAUAACACGAGGAAACUUGUGCUAAUACCGGAUAAGUCUUUACGGAGAAAGCUUUAUGCACCAUUGGAUGAGCCUGCACUUGAUUAGUUUGUUGGUGGGGUAAUGGCCUACCAAGACUGUGAUCAAUAGCUGAUUUGAGAGGAUGAUCAGCCACAUUGGGACUGAGACACGGCCCAAACUCCUACGGGAGGCAGCAGUGGGGAAUCUUGCACAAUGGAGGAAACUCUGAUGCAGCGAUGCCGCGUGAGUGAAGAAGGCCCUUGGGUUGUAAAGCUCUUUCGUCGGGGAAGAAAAUGACUGUACCCGAAUAAGAAGGUCCGGCUAACUUCGUGCCAGCAGCCGCGGUAAUACGAAGGGACCUAGCGUAGUUCGGAAUUACUGGGCUUAAAGAGUUCGUAGGUGGUUGAAAAAGUUAGUGGUGAAAUCCCAGAGCUUAACUCUGGAACUGCCAUUAAAACUUUUCAGCUAGAGUAUGAUAGAGGAAAGCAGAAUUUCUAGUGUAGAGGUGAAAUUCGUAGAUAUUAGAAAGAAUACCAAUUGCGAAGGCAGCUUUCUGGAUCAUUACUGACACUGAGGAACGAAAGCAAGGGUAGCGAAGAGGAUUAGAUACCCUCGUAGUCCAUGCCGUAAACGAUGUGUGUUAGACGUUGGAAAUUUAUUUUCAGUGUCGCAGGGAAACCGAUAAACACACCGCCUGGGGAGUACGACCGCAAGGUUAAAACUCAAAUGAAUUGACGGGGACCCGCACAAGUAGUGGAGCAUGUGGUUUAAUUCGAAGAUACGCGCAGAACCUUACCAACACUUGACAUGUUCGUCGCGACUCUAAGAGAUUAGAGUUUUCGGUUCGGCCGGACGAAACACAGGUGCUGCAUGGCUGUCGUCAGCUCGUGUCGUGAGAUGUUGGGUUAAGUCCCGCAACGAGCGCAACCCUCACUUUUAGUUGCCAUCAUUAAGUUGGGCACUCUGAAAGAACUGCCAGUGAUAAGCUGGAGGAAGGUGGGGAUGACGUCAAGUCCUCAUGGCCCUUACGUGUUGGGCUACACACGUGCUACAAUGGUAUCUACAACAGGAAGCAAGACUGCGAAGUUAAGCAAAUCCCUAAAAGAUACCUCAGUUCGGAUUGCACUCUGCAACUCGAGUGCAUGAAGCUGGAAUUACUAGUAAUCGUGGAUCAGCGUGCCACGGUGAAUGCGU
rnacentral:rRNA from 1 species